rnacentral:rRNA from 1 species
UACGAAGGGUGCAAGCGUUAAUCGGAAUUACUGGGCGUAAAGCGCGCGUAGGUGGUUCAGUAAGUUGGAUGUGAAAUCCCCGGGCUCAACCUGGGAACUGCAUCCAAAACUGCUGAGCUAGAGUAUGGUAGAGGGUAGUGGAAUUUCCUGUGUAGCGGUGAAAUGCGUAGAUAUAGGAAGGAACACCAGUGGCGAAGGCGACUACCUGGACUGGUACUGACACUGAGGUGCGAAAGCGUGGGGAGCAAACAGG